GAAAGCCGUGUGCAAUGAAAAAUGCAAGCACGGUUUGGGGAGGGAUUUUUAUUCUUUAACCUAGUUUUUUUUAACAAGGAAAUUAUCUACUCCAU
rnacentral:ncRNA from 1 species